AACACCUGGUGAUCUUGUUAAAAUGCAGAUUCUCACCCAGUAGGUCUGGGAUGGAGUCCAAGAUUCUGCAUUUCUAACAAGCGCCUGGGUGAUGCAGA
rnacentral:pre_miRNA from 1 species